rnacentral:rRNA from 1 species
UAGGGAAUCUUCCGCAAUGGGCGAAAGCCUGACGGAGCAACGCCGCGUGAGUGAUGAAGGUCUUCGGAUCGUAAAACUCUGUUAUUAGGGAAGAACAAAUGUGUAAGUAACUAUGCACGUCUUGACGGUACCUAAUCAGAAAGCCACGGCUAACUACGUGCCAGCAGCCGCGGUAAUACGUAGGUGGCAAGCGUUAUCCGGAAUUAUUGGGCGUAAAGCGCGCGUAGGCGGUUUUUUAAGUCUGAUGUGAAAGCCCACGGCUCAACCGUGGAGGGUCAUUGGAAACUGGAAAGCUUGGGUGCAGAAGAGGAAAGUGGAAUUCCAUGUUUAGCGGUGAAAUGCGCAGAGAUAUGGAGGAACACCAGUGGCGAAGGCGACUUUCUGGUCUGUAGCUGACGCUGAUGUGCGAAAGCGUGGGGAUCAAACAGG